AGACCCGAAACCCGGUGAUCUAGCCAUGGGCAGGUUGAAGGUUGGGUAACACUAACUGGAGGACCGAACCGACUAAUGUUGAAAAAUUAGCGGAUGACCUGUGGCUGGGGGUGAAAGGCCAAUCAAACCGGGAGAUAGCUGGUUCUCCCCGAAAGCUAUUUAGGUAGCGCCUCGUGAAUUCAUCUCCGGGGGUAGAGCACUGUUUCGGCUAGGGGGCCAUCCCGGCUUACCAACCCGAUGCAAACUGCGAAUACCGGAGAAUGUUAUCACGGGAGACACACGGCGGGUGCUAACGUCCGUCGUGAAGAGGGAAACAACCCAGACCGCCAGCUAAGGUCCCAAAGUCAUGGUUAAGUGGGAAACGAUGUGGGAAGGCCCAGACAGCCAGGAUGUUGGCUUAGAAGCAGCCAUCAUUUAAAGAAAGCGUAAUAGCUCACUGGUCGAGUCGGCCUGCGCGGAAGAUGUAACGGGGCUAAACCAUGCACCGAAGCUGCGGCAGCGAACGUAUCACCCAAGACAACUUUACGGAGUUGACGAUUGACGGAGCGAAGCGACGUCAAAGCGUUCAUUAAAGUCGAGUUGGCUUAGGGAUACGUUCGUUGGGUAGGGGAGCGUUCUGUAAGCCUGUGAAGGUGGCCUGUGAGGGUUGCUGGAGGUAUCAGAAGUGCGAAUGCUGACAUAAGUAACGAUAAAGCGGGUGAAAAGCCCGCUCGCCGGAAGACCAAGGGUUCCUGUCCAACGUUAAUCGGGGCAGGGUGAGUCGACCCCUAAGGCGAGGCCGAAAGGCGUAGUCGAUGGGAAACGGGUUAAUAUUCCCGUACUUGGUGUUACUGCGAAG
rnacentral:rRNA from 1 species